GCCGACAUAGCUCCAAUCGGUAGAGCAGGCCACUCGUAAUGGUCAGGUUGCAGGUUCAAGUCCUGUUGUCGGCACCA
rnacentral:tRNA from 7 species